CCCAGCAGCCAUGUCACCCUGCAACUCACAGCCAGCAGCCCACUGGAGCUCAGCAGGGGUGGGCCUGGUUAUUACCUGCAUAGGAGACCUCCUGGGAAAGCUACGGCUGCUGCUGGAA
rnacentral:rRNA from 1 species